GACGAACGCUGGCGGCGUGCUUAACACAUGAAAGUCGAACGGAAAGGCCCUGCUUUUGUGGGGUGCUCGAGUGGCGAACGGGUGAGUAACACGUGAGUAACCUGCCAUUGACUUUGGGAUAACGUCAGGAAACUGGGGCUAAUACCGGUUAGGAGCUCCUGCUGCAUGGUGGGGGUUGGAAAGUUUCGGCGGUUGGGGAUGGACUCGCGGCUUAUCAGCUUGUUGGUGGGGUAGUGGCUUACCAAGGCUUUGACGGGUAGCCGGCCUGAGAGGGUGACCGGCCACAUUGGGGCUGAGAUACGGCCCAUACUCCUACGGGAGGCAGCAGUGGGGAAUAGUGCACAAUGGGCGGAAGCCUGAUGCAGCAACUCCGCGUGCGGGAUGACGGCCUUCGGGUUGUAAACCGCUUUCGCCUGUUACGAUGCGUGAGUGACGGUAAUGGGUAAAGAAGCACCGGCUAACUACGUG
rnacentral:rRNA from 1 species